CCUACGGGUGACAGCAGUGGGGAAUAUUGCACAAUGGGGGAAACCCUGAUGCAGCAACGCCGCGUGAGUGAAGAAGUCCUUCGGGAUGUAAAGCUCUAUCAGUAGGGAAGAAGACAGUCGGUAUCUGACUCAGAUGCCCCGGCUAACUACGUGCCAGCAGCCGCGGUAAUCCGGAGGGGGCAAGCGUUAUCCGGAUGUACUGGGUGUAAAGGGAGCGUAGACGGCGGUGCAAGUCUGAAGUGAAAGCCCGUGGCUCAACCGCGGAACUGCUUGGGAAACUGUAUAGCUUGAGUACUGGAGAGGCAGGCGGAAUUCCUAGUGUAGCGGUGAAAUGCGUAGAUAUUAGGAGGAACACCAGUGGCGAAGGCGGCCUGCUGGACAGAAACUGACGUUGAGGCUCGAAAGCGUGGGGAGCAAACAGGAUUAGAUACCCGAGUAGUC
rnacentral:rRNA from 1 species